GGUGCCAUUUCUCUCUCUGCCGGCAGUCCUGCAACUCGUUUCUCUACUCUACGGUCAUCUUCCGUCAAAUGUUUUAUAUUUUUGCCGUUUACUCAAGAAAAUUUGCAUGAAUAACGAGAUGCCUGAAUUUAUUCUGAAGAACUGAAAAAGAUUGAUAAGUGCACAUUACGAUGGCAGAGUCUCAGAAGAUAGCAUCAUCCUAAAAAUUGAAGGAAAAAAAAAUUCAUCGUUCAACGAUUUGGGGCGGGAUGAGUGAAAUGUUGGAGGACUUGAAAAUGGAGGUGAUUGGGCCAUUUUACCAUCUCUAUCUGCCACGAAACCUUGGUGUGUGACCAAUAUCAGGGAUCUUGUUGCAUGGCCCAGUGUGGGAAAACCAAAACCAAAUGCCAUUGCCAAUGAGGCCAAUGUUCCCUUUUAUAAGAUCUGUGCUAUUGAAUUGGUGUAUGGAGUUUCAGGUGUAAUUGUUUUUUGUUGCUCUUUGUUUUUUUGAUGACGAAUUUUUAAUCAUAAAUCUUUUAGAUAUCUAAUUGUGUUUUCACUUAUAGUGAUGACAGGGUAAAUAGACCUAUGCGUGUCAUUUCUUUAUUUUAUUUUAUUUUUAUUUUCUAUUUUUUAUCUUGUCCACCUAUUUGCUGCUAGUUGCUGCUAGUUUAACAAUUGGACUAAUUUCCCUUUUUUGUCUAUUAUGUGUGGGGUUUCAAUCAUGAACUUGGUUUUGUUCCUGCCCUUAUUUACAUAUUUUUCAAGCUUGCUAAGAUGUUUUAUUUGUUGAAUGUUUCAGCGACAUCAGAAGAAGAUAUUAGAGAGCUAUUUUCUAUAGCUCACAAGGACAGCCCCAUCCAUUGUAUUCAUAGAUGAAAUAGAUGCGAUUGCAACUAAAUGGUAAAUUUCCAGUAACGUAAUGGAGCAACAAAUUGUCACAAUACUAAUGUCGUGCAUGGAUAAGUCAUCGAGAAUUGUCAAACCUAUAAAUGAAAGUGGAACUUUAGAGAAUUCUGAUUGCAUAUCUGUGUAUGUACUCGUUAUUGGAGCAACAAAUAGGCCUGAUUCUAUUAAUCCUGCAUUGAUGAGGCUUGGAUGAUUUGACCAUGAGAUUUAGCUUUUGAUCUUAUGAAUAUAGCUUAGUCCACUGCAGAGAUUGUUGGAGCUGACUUGGCAGCACUUAUGGACAAAGCUGGCAAUCUAGCAAAUGAAUUGGAUAAUAGGCCAACGAAAGUAUCAGGUUUCUACAGAACCUGUAUAAGGGGAGUUUGUUGAAGAAUGGUGGAGACAACCUUGAUCGUGUGAAGAAAUAGAAGGCUCGGCAUGACAAUGGCUGAUUUUGAGGACAAGGAUUCGGGGAAGAUGAUUGGACAUGCUAGAGAAUGGGAUGGGCUUUCCUAACUCGAAUCACCGAGGCAAUCAAGUAUCAUCAAGGGCAAAUUACCUCAUUCUUUUGUUUGAGUUUUUUCAUCCAAUAUAGAGAGUGGCUUCACCAUUGUUGACUUGGACAUGUGUCAUUUAGGGUUAUUAAACAUAAUUCUCAUGUUACUUGGAUUUUUUGGCUCAAACAUAAAUCUGAUGUUAGUACUGUUCAUCCAAAUUUUUGUUCCAUGAUUAAGAAUCAAUUUAAGGUCAAUAUCAAAAGGUUUGGGUUGGUUCAAUCAAGUCCUAUCUCCGUACUUUAAGAAGAAUUAAGGGAUAGUACACGAGUCAUCUUAUGUUAGUACUCUACAGCAAAAUAGAGUAGCAAAAAUGUAAAAUAGACACCUUAAAUCAACCUGAGCCUUCAUGUUCCAGAGAGAUGUACCUAAAUCCUUUUGGGGAGAAGCAGUUCUUACAGCCACACAUUUAAUAAAUCGUUUACCUUCCAGAAUCUUGGGAUUCAAGAGGCAAAUGGAAAUACUAUCGACAUUCUAUCCUAACCUCACUACAAAUAAUCUUGUCCCUAGGAUAUUUGGGUGUAUAUCAUUUGUCCAUGACCAUAGUCAAAAUAGGGGAAACUUGGAUCCUAGGGUGUUAAGAUGUGUCUUUGUGGUUAUUUGUCAAUUCAGAAAGGGUGUAAGUGUUACCACCCUCCAUUAAAGAAAUUCUAUGUCUCGGUGGUGUUACUUUCAAUGAAUUAGAGUCGUAUUUCACAGCUCCUUAUCUUCAGGGGGAGAAUUCCAGAUCAGUUCCUCAUUCCACUAUGUUGAAUUCCGUGUCUCCUUGUUUGAACCUGUGCUCGAAAAUCCUCAAGAAAAGAUGGACUCUACUUUUGAAAAUGUAAAUAUUUGGUAAGGGCAAGGUGUUUUCAAGGAAGAUGGUUGUCCUUGAAUCUGUGCAAGUACAAGACUCGAACCCAGAUCUUGAGAAUGCGGCAACAAUUUCUAACCCUUCAUUGCAAGCUAAAACUGAAUCUAAUGUGAGCAGUAAUGACAGGACCUUCCCAUUGCUCACAAACCGACAUUUAUAUCCUCUUGCACAUUUCUUGUCUUUUAAACAUUCUUUACCAUCUCAUAGAGCCUUCCUUGUUAGCUUAAACACCAUUGUCAUUCCUACCACCUUAUCGAAGGCUUUGUCCAAUGAGAAAUAGAAACAAGCUAUGAAUGUAGAGAUAGAGGUCCUUAAAAAAACUUGGGAAUUGGUAAAGUUGCCAACAAGAAAGAGAUUAGUGGGAUAUAAAAUGGGUUUAUGUAGUGAAGUAUAGGGCAGAUGGAUCGAUAGAAAGAUACGAGGCAAAGUUGGUGGCUAAAGGUUAUACUUGAUCAUAUGGAAUCGAUUACCUAGAGACUUUUGCUCCAAUUGCAAAGAUAACUGCUGUUAGAAUCUUGUUGUCAUUAACAACUAAUUAUGGUUGGGAAUUGCAGCAUUUUGAUCUUAAGAUUGCAUUGUUUGCAUGGAGAACUAAAGGAAGAAAUUUAUAUAGAGGUCGUAUUAGGUUAUGGGAAUAAUUUGGCUGGUUAUAUUGUGUGUAAGUUGAAGAAAGCCUCUAUGGACUUGAGCAAUCACCAGAGAUAUAUAUAGACAAAGCUAAAGGGAUCAUAUGCUGUACAUUAAACACUCACCUUCAAGGGAGUCACAGUUUUCUUAGAAUAUGUUGAUGACACAAUAGUGAUCGGGAUUGAUGAUAAGGAGAAGAUAUCUUGCAAACCAGCAAGUACUCCAUUAGAUUCGAAUGUUAGACUUGGAAAGGUAGAGGAAGAUGCUGCAGUAGACAUGGAAAUGUACCAGUGCUUGUAGGAACCUAUGUAUCCGUCACACACAUCCGGAUAUAGCGUAUGCAGUGUUAGCCAGUUCUUGCAUAUCCCCAAGGAACUCUUGGUAGGAAGACCUAUUUCAUUUUUUUUUCUUUCACUCCUUUCACCAGUAGGUACCGACGAGGAGGCGAAUCCAGUGCCACUGAUCAGCCGUUGUGAGUGGCGAGUGUAUUGCCUUAGGCGUUGUUGCGAAACGGAGCUUGAGUUCGUUGCAUACAAUGACGAUCAGAUCCCGUCGUGUACGACAUUCAGAUCUCGUCCCGAGCAGCAACGAACUCAGAGUGUUGCGCACAGUGGUGUACACUCUGGUUGUCACGAUGGGUUUGUGAUGGUUUUGUGGUUGAUUUGUAGGAGUUUGGUUAUGUUGCGAUCUAGCAAUGAUGAUAGUGUAGGAGUUUGGUGUGUGGUUACUAUGGUGGUGGUAGGUUUGCAUUGAUGUGAUGUAGUGGUUGUUGUGGUGGUGAUUUUGCACAGUCUGGUGAGGCGACGGUGGUCAUGGGUAGAUGGGACGGGAUAUGAGCUAUUUGUGACCAAUUAUUUGGUUGAUUGUGACCAAUAAAUUGGGUAAUUUGUGACCUAAAAAAUGUA